AGAGUUUGAUCCUGGCUCAGAUUGAACGCUGGCGGCGUGCUUAACACAUGCAAGUCGAACGAGAAAGGGACUUCGGUCCUGAGUAGAGUGGCGCACGGGUGAGUAACGCGUAGGUAAUCUACCUCUGCAUCUGGGAUAACACUUCGAAAGGGGUGCUAAUACCGGAUACACUUAUGUGUCGCAAGACGUAUAAGGAAAGGAGACCUCUCCUUGGAAGUUUCUGUGUAGAGAUGAGCCUGCGUCCCAUUAGCUAGUUGGUAGGGUAAAGGCCUACCAAGGCUACGAUGGGUAGCGGGUCUGAGAGGAUGAUCCGCCACACUGGAACUGAAACACGGACCAGACUCCUACGGGAGGCAGCAGUGAGGAAUAUUGGACAAUGGGCGAAAGCCUGAUCCAGCGACGCCGCGUGAGUGAUGAAGGCCUUUGGGUCGUAAAGCUCUGUCAGCAGGGAAGAACGGCCGUGCGGUUAAUACCCGUGCGGAUUGACGGUACCUGCAGAGGAAGCACCGGCUAACUCCGUGCCAGCAGCCCGGUAU
rnacentral:rRNA from 1 species